AAUAAAUCAGUCGGCUCUGAUUAACUUCUGAUCAAUUCAGACGGCGUCAUCAUUUUGCCUUAUCAACUGUCAAACGAGUUUGCCACUGUUUCGGAGUAUUCUACAGAAAAGCAAUGAAAUGGAGAAUGAUCUUAGCCAUAUUGUAUCAGUUGCAAUAUUUAGCAUACUCACAUUACAAUGGAGUUUCGACCUCUGUCUGUGAAAGUAUGACACCAAAUCACUCAUAUUUACCACAAGAGACGGGAAAUCCUUACACGCUUUCUGUAAAUACCACAACUUAUACCAACGGUUCAGUUAUUUCAGUCACUCUAAGUAGCCAAGACAAUACAACGUUUAAGGGAUAUAUGAUACAGAUGAGAAGGACAGAUAACGACAAAAUUGUUGGUAGAUUUUCUGAAGUAAACAAUGGCAAGUUGAUGACAUGUGGU